UUUAAGGUUAAUGGUUUAUA
rnacentral:siRNA from 1 species